rnacentral:rRNA from 1 species
GGCUUCAAGCGUUGUCCGGAUUUAUUGGGCGUAAAGAGCUCGUAGGCGGUUCAGUCAGUCGGGUGUGAAAACUCUGGGCUUAACCCAGAGCCUGCACCCGAUACUGCUGUGACUAGAGUUCGGUAGGGGAGCGGGAAUUCCUGGUUUAGCGGUGAAAUGCGCAGAUAUCAGGAGGAACACCGAUGGCGAAGGCACCGCUCUGGGCCGRAACUGACGCUGAGGAGCGRAAGCAUGGGUAGCAAACAGGAUUAGAUACCCUGGUAGUCCAUGCCGUAAACGUUGGGCACUAGGUGUGGGUUCCAAUCAACGGAAUCCGCGCCGUCGCUAACGCAUUAAGUGCCCCGCCUGGGGAGUACGGUCGCAAGACUAAAACUCAAAGGAAUUGACGGGGCCCCGCACAAGCAGCGGAGC